rnacentral:siRNA from 1 species
UACCAUUCAUCUCAGGUUAGU